rnacentral:rRNA from 1 species
GACGAAAGCUGGCGGCGUGCCUAAUACAUGCAAGUCGACCUUAGUGGCGAACGGGUGAUUAACACGUGGGUAACCUACCCAUCAGAAGAGUAUAACACUUGUAAACAGGUGCUCAUCCCGUAUACUGCAGUAUGUACCCUCUGUGCAUUAGCUAGUUGGGGGGGUAACGGCUCACCAAGGCCACGAUGCAUAACCGACCUGAGAGGGUGAGCGGCCACAUUGGAACUGAUACACGGCCCAAACUCCUACGGGAGGCAGCAGUAGGAAAUCUUCGGCAAUGGACGAAAGUCUGACCGAGCAACGCCGCGUGAGUGAAGAAGGUUUUCGGAUCGUAAAACUCUGUUGGUAGAGAAGCGGUAUCUAACCAGAAAGCAACGGCUAACUACGUGCCAGCAGCCGCGGUAAUAC